GCCGGGGUAGCUCAGCUGGGAGAGCAACAGACUGAAGUACGAUGUUUUCUGGAGGUCCCGUGUUCAAUCCACGGUCCUGGCA